GGAAAAACAAAUUACAAAUUGAAAUUGUAAAAGGCGGAUUGAGCAUAAACUGGUGUAUGUAUGAAUAUAUAUAGGUAUAUAUAUACAGAGAGAGCGUUAGACCAACACGAGCCACACUCCAUACCAGUAAGUGGCGGUAAUGCUACUCUAAGUUUGUUGCCAACCGCCAAUAAACACAACAAGAAGAAGAAGCCGACUGCCAGUCCUUCAGCGCCGGAGUGUUUGCUAGUCACGGUGUUUCCUCCUGGCUCCUCGUGUUCCCGUCUAUCCUUGUGACGCCGUGGAAGGUACCCACAGGUUGCCCAAGCCCCCAGACUCACCUUAUCCGUGCACCAACCAGUUCCUCCAGGAUUUCCACGACUGGCAGUCGAGCCGCUCCUUUACACCGCCGAACCUAGCCUACCUGUCCCCCCUCCGACGUGCUCCCGUUGCCUCCUGAAAUCCUGCCGACAGACAUCUCAACUACCUGGAACCACAGAGAACUGAAACCCUGGACAUUACAGUACUCUCUUACCUCUCAAACCAGCCGACCUCAAUGAACCGUUUGUUUCCUGAAGUUACAUUCCUCCCUGGACCCGACCCGAGCCUCCAGUACCCACCAGCUGUGUUCUCGAUAAACUUCAUUCUUAACUCACAUUUUCUCCUGAGUCGUGUUCUGCAUAUGGGCUAGAUUAAUUACCCCCAUUAUGACAAAUCUAAGCAAACUGUUAAUCAACUGACCAAAUGACUACAAUUCAAAAAAGUCAAAAAUGAAAUAAUUUUCUGUUGGGAAAGAUGAAAAGGAAAGUCUAUGAACUUAGUAGGAUCUCUGGGCUGCACAAAGCGAUCUCUCUCACAACAGGCUUCCCACUGGUAUUUAGAAAAAAGAUUAGGCAUUUAUGCAGAUAUAACUGUUUCUACAAAAGUUAAGAACUGACAGGCACACACACUACAACACCACAAGUCUUUGAUUGAAGGCUUAUUUAAUGAUUAAAUAAAUACAUAUUGUUAAUAAAAUAGAAUAGCAACAGCUAGUGCAGUGUGCAAAGAGCAUCUUAAAAAUUAAAAACUGUUCUCGGUGAGAACCAGCUCUUUACUAUCAUUUGUCAUGACAGAAACGCCAACACUAUGAAUACUAUCAUUCAUAGUAAAGAGCCGUUCAGAAGAAUCGGCUCGUUCAUAAAUGUUGCAUCACUUUAUUGCAGAUUUUGGUCAUAGUAUUGUCAUACAUGCAACACAGGAGCGGCCAUAGGAGGAUGUGGGCCCCUGGGCUAGAGCCAAUGCACGGGGCCAUAUACAGUAAUCAUGCACCAUCUCCUUUUGCUCUGCCAAGAGAGAGGACUGAUGGACCGUCCUGUCUGCCAUGUCAACUCUCCAUUUGCACGGUUCACAACAAUCACCUCGAUUUUGUGACUUUUUCACUUUAUUUCGCACACACACAAAAAUAAAAAAUAAAAAAUUCACGUUUUUUAAAGAUCGGUGAUUGGCCAGUGCAGCAGUACUUUCUUUUUAAUCAAUCUGCAGAAUGAUUGAUUACUAUAAUCAAUGUGAAGAAUAUUAUUUCAAACAAAAUACAUUCAGUAGUUGUCAAAUUACUUCAACAUCUUAAAUAUGUCUACAUAUUUGACAAGUUUUUCUCAGAAAAACUUGACAACGUUUUCAUUCUCUAUGUACUGUAUUUAUUUAUCCAUCAUAUCUAUCUAGGCCUGUCGCAAGAAACAAAUCAAUUAAUCGCACGAUAAAUUAAAACUAUCGACCUCAUUUAAUUAUCAUCUAUAUCGUUUCUUCCUGCCUUUUUCUCUUACUGUUGAUGACACUGAAUGAAAAAAGGCUCCACUCCAGUGCUCUCCACUGACCCUCCCUUCCUUAUUUCCUCAGUGUAAUGCCCAGCGUGCGCUGCACGAUAUUAUGUUGCCGAUUGUCGGCCCAUUAUCAAAACCUGAAAGACACAUUAGCCGACAGAAAGCCUAGCUAUAAUGGUUCGAUCGAACCGUGUUGUGUCCAACAAUGGACAAAAAAUAAUAAAUCCAGUUCACUAAUAUUAAAACCAGGCAUUAAUCAAUUCCUUACCACAAUCUACCUGCAAUGCAUGUGGCUAGUGUCAGUCCUGACUGAAUGAAAAUCAUUAUAACCUAUUUAUGUCACGUUAGCGAAGAACAGCUGAAAAGUUACCAGGUUUUCUGGUAGAAAUUUCGCUCCAACUCCUCCCCUCGUUAUUUAUAUUUUCUUUACACGAAAUGUUGAAUAAACAUUCAUGUUGUUUCCGAUGUUUGCUGGACUUCGGGUUGCACUGUAUCAGCUGUUCGGGAUUCCCUCUGUGUUUCCCCUCAGAAAGCACGAGGAGAAUCCGCACUUUCUGAUUGGCUACCGGUCACAUUCAACAGGUGUUAAGGUCCCAGUCUGGGCAAAUCUUUGAUUUAGAUCGAAACGAUCUACCAUAACACACAACACAAGUGGCAAUCUUAGAACGAGUAAUGUUCUAAGAUUGUCAUUCGGGGUAAAAAAUCCUGUUGUUUGAACUUUUGCAUCAGGCAGUUGGAUUCUUCUCUAUUAAAAUCUCAUGAUUAAUAAGGGCAAUAUACUAUACAGACUUCAUAAUCUGCACUCUGCAGUAUUUAUUUCCACUUUGGCUUUAUGUUGUUCAGUUUUUAUUCAAGUACAUUUAUUGUUAAUGGAGACUAAGAAUCUAUUUUAUUUUUGUUUUUGGUUGUUUAAUUUAUUUUGUGUAUCAGUCCCAGAGUUAAGUGUUCUUUUGAAAGUAAAGUGUAUCUAUCUUUGGCAGAAAAUCGCAUGUAUUAUUACGUAAUUUCCAUUAAAUCAAUGUAAAAAGGUCUUCAAACAAUAUUAUUGUUUAUCGCAAUAAUUUUAUAGAUAAUUUAAAUCAGCUGAAACUCUGAGUGCCUUUAAAUCUAGACUAACACCAGUCUGGUUAGAGUUGUAUGCUGAUAAAAGAAACAUUUAUCAACAUGUUGGUGUGUAUUGAUGGCACCUGAAAAAUCUGAUGUUUACUGGUUUUCUCAAG